AUAUAUAAUACGGUUAAGGAAUCAUGCGCUCUCCUUAAUCCGGGGUCCUACGUGGCAUAUCUAAGAAUUCACCAUUCAAAAUCCCUGCAAUUCUAGAGCCUCUAGCUCAAUUCUCUAUCGCUGACGUGGCAAUAUAAUUCCACAUCACUUAUUUUAUAUUUGAUUAUUUAAUUAAGUUAUUUUCCUUCACCAAUUUUCGAUAUCACCAAUUUCAAUUCCCCUUCACAUACAAAUGAUUUCACCCUCACAUUCACCAAUUCCUCCACCAGAUUUCCACCAACUGCACUCGGAUUCCAGUCGCCACCGCCGCCUUCACCGCGCCGGCCACCUCCCUUCAUCCGCAAGCCCUCCGAUCUGCAUCGCCGCCUCUUUCUUUCUUCAAUCGGCGGCUCCACCCCCCACCGCUCUCUCCGCCGCUCCCACAGCCUCAGCCGCUUCUCCCGCCCCAUUGCGCCGGAGCCAGAGGCUGAGAUGGACUACAUCAAAAACGUGCCCAGGAGAAAAUUCGUCAACACCACGAGGGGCUUGACCUCGCUGGCACCAACCGGGAAUCGCCGAGCCCCUAGAUCCCCAAAGUCUCACCACCUCUUUGUGAUUUCCGGCGACCACGGCAGCCAUGUCCGCCGAUCUGCCACCUCCCUUCCCCCAUAUGAUUUUUGGUUUAGAGGAUUAAGGGAUUGCUUACUUCCCUGUUUUAGCGGGUGCCGGCUAGAAAAUUUUUAGACAUUAUCGUAGACAAACAGGAAGAAAUUAUCAUUAUAUGACCAAGUCACUGGUGGUCUAGGUAUCUUAUUUUGGUAUUAUUUAGAGGAUCAAUAACGGCUCAAGUGUUGCUUUCGUUGCUCGGCUAUAUUUUGUGUGUAGUUUUUUUAGCUUUUUAUAUUAAAAGCUGUAAUUUUUAUUCACAUUAUGUUGUCAUCGUAGAGUUGCAAUUGCUUACUUUGUUUGAUUUUUUUUUUUCCUUUUCAGGCUGAAAGGAUUCUUGGGUACUUACCAAGAUAAAAAGUUUCUUCAAGUCCAUAAUAGUUUUUUACUGAUAUAUACUCAUUUAAAUCUGUUAAAAAGAUAUUGGAAUUAAAGCUGAACAUAUUAACAUUUUUUGCUUUACUUCCCUGUUUUGGUUUAGAUUUUUCGCUGAAAGGAAGCGAUUGUUUUACUUCUCUGUUUUGUCGUGGCUGAUAUCUCCGAGCACAUCACCAACAAGGUCUGUGAAAAUAGGAUUAAAUUCAAGGAAAAUGUACGCCAUUUCAGGAUAUUAAGGCCUUCUUGCCAUGAGACAGAGGAAAGAUCUGAUUUGACGUUGCCUCUCUUGAAGUGUUGCCUCUCUUGAAGUAGGCUCCUCUCACUAAAUAUAGAAUGAUAGAUAUAGUGGUUGGUUCUUUUUUGCUAUAGAUUAGUCUGUCGUGAUUAUGCGUUUGCAGCACAAUUUAUUUGAACGUAACAUGCUUAAAUGGGAUAUUUGCAUCCUCUUUGAAUUAGAGAAAAUGAUUCUACAAAUCUGUCCAGAUAGCUGGUAGUCACAAACCAUGACAAAUCUUCUACAAAGCACCACGUUUGUUCUUAAAUUUGUUGCUCUUUUAUUCUUAAAGAUCAGUUUCACGUACAUGGAAGCGAGAAGAAUUUAUGAAAUAUCUUAAAUUGGUGUUACUUUUCUGAACCUGUUGCAAGUAUGUUGAUGGUAACUCAUUUUGGUAAUCUCGGAAUACUACAUACAUACUUUGGCCAUCUAUUUCAGCUGCUCAAUGUGAUAUUGAGCAGUUCAACUGAUCGUGUUGCUACAAAUAAUGAGUGAUAUAAAUAAUGAGUGAUAUGUAUUGUUUUUUGUUUAGUUUUUUUUAAGAAGUGUAAUAUGAAUAUUAGAUCUUAUGAGAUUAUUGUGAUCAUCAAAUAUUAUCUUUAAUAACUUAUUUUCAGGUUCUUUGUAUGAUAGCUCAAAUGCAAUUUGAUGGUCGCUAUGUUCUGAUGAAGCAAAAGAUCUUAAGCUGAAGUUUUUGCUAUCUUCUCAUGCACUUCCAUCAUAUAAAGAUUUGGACAUAGAUGAUUUGUAAACCCAUGUUGGCAACCGCUGAUGUUUUAGAUUCCAUCUCUAAUUACCUCUUUUUUCUAAAGCUAAUCUGCAAAAUGUCUCUAAAGUGCAAUAUAUUAUUAAUUUGAAUAUUUAUUUCACAUUCACAAUGCUUGAAUUUUGUUCACUUU